rnacentral:rRNA from 1 species
GUAGGUGGCAAGCGUUGUCCGGAAUUAUUGGGCGUAAAGCGCGCGCAGGCGGUUCUUUAAGUCUGAUGUGAUAGCCCACGGCUCAACCGUGGAGGGUCAUUGGAAACUGGAGAACUUGAGUACAGAAGAGGAAAGCGGAAUUCCACGUGUAGCGGUGAAAUGCGUAGAGAUGUGGAGGAACACCAGUGGCGAAGGCGGCUUUCUGGUCUGUAACUGACGCUGAGGCGCGAAAGCGUGGGGGAGCAAACAGGAUUAGAUACCCUGGUAGUCCACGCCGUAAACGAUGAGUGCUAAGUGUUAGGGGGUUUCCGCCCCUUAGUGCUGCAGCUAACGCAUUAAGCACUCCGCCUGGGAGUACGGCCGCAAGGCUG